GUUGUUGCGUUAAAAAGCUCGUAGUUGGAUCUCAGGUCCCGGCUCGCGGUUCACCUCGCGGUGCUUUACUGCCCGUCCGGACCUAACCCGCCGGUCUCCUCCCUUGGUGCCCUUCGCUGGGUGUCUCGGGUGGCCGGAAAGUUUACUUUGAAAAAAUUAGAGUGUUCAAAGCAGGCGCUUCCGCCUGGAUAAUGGUGCAUGGAAUAAUGGAAUAGGACCUCGGUUCUAUUGUGUUGGUUUUCGGAGCUCGAGGUAAUGAUUAAGAGGGACAGACGGGGGCAUUCGUAUUACGGUGUUAGAGGUGAAAUUCUUGGAUCGCCGUAAGACGAACUACUGCGAAAGCAUUUGCCAAGAAUGUUUUCAUUAAUCAAGAACGAAAGUCAGAGGUUCGAAGACGAUCAGAUACCGUCCUAGUUCUGACCAUAAACGAUGUCGACUGGAGAUCCGCCGGAGUUGUUUCACUGACCCGGCUGGCAUCCUCCGGGAAACCUUAAGUCUAUGGAUUCCGGGGGAAGUAUGGUUGCAAAGCUGAAACUUAAAGGAAUUGACGGAAGGGCACCACCAGGAGUGGAGCCUGCGGCUUAAUUUGACUCAACACGGGGAACCUCACCAGGCCAGGACACCGUAAGGAUUGACAGAUUGAUAGCUCUUUCUUGAUUCGGUGGGUGGUGGUGCAUGGCCGUUCUUAGUUGGUGGAGCGAUUUGUCUGGUUAAUUCCGAUAACGAACGAGACUCUAGCCUAUUAAAUAGUUCGCCGAUUCUUCUACGUGUCGGUGCCAACUUCUUAGAGGGACAAGUGGCGUUUA
rnacentral:rRNA from 1 species